UACGUAGGGGGCAAGCGUUGUCCGGAUUUACUGGGUUUAAAGGGUGCGUAGGUGGGUUGGUAAGUCAGUGGUGAAAUACUUUCGCUUAACGAAGGAACUGCCAUUGAUACUACCAGUCUUGAAUACAGUGGAGGUAGGCGGAAUGCGUCAUGUAGCGGUGAAAUGCUUAGAUAUGACGCAGAACACCAAUUGCGAAGGCAGCUUGCUACACUGUUAUUGACACUGAGGCACGAAAGCGUGGGGAUCAAACAGG
rnacentral:rRNA from 1 species